rnacentral:rRNA from 1 species
CUAGCUACAGGCUUAACACAUGCAAGUCGAGGGGAAACGACAGUAAAGCUUGCUUUAUUGGGCGUCGACCGGCGCACGGGUGCGUAACGCGUAUCCAACCUGCCCCCAACUCCGGAAUAGUCCCCCGAAAGGGGGGUUAACGCCGGAUGCUGCAGCUGCUCCGCAUGGUGAAGUUGCGAAAUGAAAAAGGUUGGGGCUGGGGAUGCGUCCCAUUAGGUAGUAGGCGGGGUAACGGCCCACCUAGCCGACGAUGGGUAGGGGUUCUGAGAGGAAGGUCCCCCACAUUGGAACUGAGACACGGUCCAAACUCCUACGGGAGGCAGCAGUGAGGAAUAUUGGUCAAUGGGCGAGAGCCUGAACCAGCCAAGUAGCGUGUGGGAAGAAUGCCCUAUGGGUUGUAAACCACUUUUGCAGGAGGGUAAAAUGCUUCACGUGUGGAGUAUUGCAAGUAUCCUGCGAAUAAGGACCGGCUAAUUCCGUGCCAGCAGCCGCGGUAAUACGGAAGGUCCAGGCGUUAUCCGGAUUUAUUGGGUUUAAAGGAGCGUAGGCGGGGAGUCAAGUCAGUUGUGAAAAGCCACGGCCCAACCGUGGUCGUGCAGUUGAAACUGGUUCUCUUGAGUGCGCACGAGGACGGUGGAAUUCGUGGUGUAGCGGUGAAAUGCUUAGAUAUCACGAAGAACUCCGAUUGCGAAGGCAGCCGUCCGGAGCGUUACUGACGCUGAGGCUCGAAGGUGCGGGUAUCAAACAGGAUUAGAUACCCUGGUAGUCCGCACGGUAAACGAUGGAUGCCGGCUGACGGCGACAGAAUGUCGGUGGCCACGCGAAAGUUUUAAGCAUCCCACCUGGGGAGUACGCCGGCAACGGUGAAACUCAAAGGAAUUGACGGAA